rnacentral:rRNA from 1 species
GACGAACGCUGGCGGCGUGCUUAACACAUGCAAGUCGAACGGAAAGGCCCUGCUUUUGUGGGGUGCUCGAGUGGCGAACGGGUGAGUAACACGUGAGUAACCUGCCCUUGACUUUGGGAUAACUUCAGGAAACUGGGGCUAAUACCGGAUAGGAGCUCCUGCUGCAUGGUGGGGGUUGGAAAGUUUCGGCGGUUGGGGCUGGACUCGCGGCUUAUCAGCUUGUUGGUGGGGUAGUGGCUUACCAAGGCUUUGACGGGUAGCCGGCCUGAGAGGGUGACCGGCCACAAUGGGACUGAGAUACGGCCCAGACUCCUACGGGAGGCAGCAGUGGGGAAUAUUGCACAAUGGGCGGAAGCCUGAUGCAGCAACGCCGCGUGCGGGAUGACGGCCUUCGGGUUGUAAACCGCUUUCGCCUGUGACGAAGCGUGAGUGACGGUAAUGGGUAAAGAAGCACCGGCUAACUACGUG